rnacentral:misc_RNA from 1 species
GAUGAAGAACGCAGCGAAAUGCGAUAAGUAAUGUGAAUUGCAGAAUUCAGUGAAUCAUCGAAUCUUUGAACGCACAUUGCGCCCGCCAGUAUUCUGGCGGGCAUGCCUGUCCGAGCGUCAUUUCAACCCUCGAACCCCUCCGGGGGGUCGGCGUUGGGGAUCGGCCCUUUCACCGGGUGCCGGCCCCUAAAUACAGUGGCGGUCUCGCCGCAGCCUCUCAUGCGCAGUAGUUUGCACACUCGCACCGGGAGCGCGGCGCGUCCACGUCCGUAAAACACCCCAACUUCUGAAAUGUUGACCUCGGAUCAGGUAGGAAUACCCGCUGAACUUAAGCAUAUCAAUAAGCGGAGGA